rnacentral:rRNA from 1 species
GUAGGUGGCAAGCGUUGUCCGGAAUUAUUGGGCGUAAAGCGCGCGCAGGCGGUUCUUUAAGUCUGAUGUGAAAGCCCACGGGCUCAACCGUGGAGGGUCAUUGGAAACUGGAGAACUUGAGUACAGAAGAGGAAAGCGGAAUUCCACGUGUAGCGGUGAAAUGCGUAGAGAUGUGGAGGAACACCAGUGGCGAAGGCGGCUUUCUGGUCUGUAACUGACGCUGAGGCGCGAAAGCGUGGGGAGCAAACAGGAUUAGAUACCCUGGUAGUCCACGCCGUAAACGAUGAGUGCUAAGUGUUAGGGGGUUUCCGCCCCUUAGUGCUGCAGCUAACGCAUUAAGCACUACGCCUGGGGAGUACGGCCGCAAAGGCUG